UACGUAGGGGGCAAGCGUUGUCCGGAAUCAUUGGGCGUAAAGAGCGUGUAGGCGGCCCGAUAAGUCCGCUGUGAAAGUCCAGGGCUCAACCCUGGAAUGCCAGUGGAAACUGUCGGGCUAGAGUCCGGAAGAGGCGAGUGGAAUUCCUGGUGUAGCGGUGAAAUGCGCAGAUAUCAGGAGGAACACCGGUGGCGAAGGCGGUUCUCUGGGCCUUACCUGACGCUGAGGAGCGAAAGCGUGGGGAGCAAACAGG
rnacentral:rRNA from 1 species